rnacentral:sRNA from 1 species
CAGCGUUUGACCUUUUGGGAUCUUGUGGUCAGGACCUUAAAAAUAGGAUCCUAAUGCAUCAGGAAAUUCAUGAGAACCCCUACCUCUCCACCUGCUUCUCUUUUCCAAACAUGCUUUCAUUCUCUAGACAUCCCUUCUCCAAGUGAGCAUUUCAUAGCUUUUAGCAAAUGCAUUGAUUGUUGGAAAGGACAAGCAGAUUAACAUUUGAUGGGAACAGGUCCUUGUCUCCUCAUUUGUAGACAACCCUAACACUUGCUCUGAUAUUAGUGCUGAUUACUACCCUGAAUGUAGUGUUUUGUUUCUCUUCAAAUAGUGCUGGCACUGCGUCGGGAUUUGUGUGUGUGUUUAGAUGCCAGUCUCCUCGUGGGUCUGAAUUACCACCUUCACCCCACUCCCAUCCCACCCCCAGUUUUCUCUACUAACCUAUUUUUCUUUUUCUUUUUUAGACCAAUGAUGCGAGCUCAGAGUCAAUAGCAUCCUUCUCUAAACAGGAGGUCAUGAGUAGCUUUCUGCCAGAGGGAGGGUGUUACGAGCUGCUCACUGUGAUAGGCAAAGGAUUUGAGGACCUGAUGACUGUGAAUCUAGCAAGGUACAAACCAACAGGAGAGUACGUGACUGUACGGAGGAUUAACCUAGAAGCUUGUUCCAAUGAGAUGGUAACAUUCUUGCAGGGCGAGCUGCAUGUCUCCAAACUCUUCAACCAUCCCAAUAUCAUGCCAUAUCGAGCCACUUUUAUUGCAGACAAUGAGCUGUGGGUUGUCACAUCAUUCAUGGCAUACGGUUCUGCAAAAGAUCUCAUCUGUACACACUUCAUGGAUGGCAUGAAUGAGCUGGCGAUUGCUUACAUCCUGCAGGGGGUGCUGAAGGCCCUCGACUACAUCCACCACAUGGGAUAUGUACACAGGAGUGUCAAAGCCAGCCACAUCCUGAUCUCUGUGGAUGGGAAGGUCUACCUGUCUGGUUUGCGCAGCAACCUCAGCAUGAUAAGCCACGGGCAGCGGCAGCGAGUGGUCCACGAUUUUCCCAAGUACAGUGUCAAGGUUCUGCCGUGGCUCAGCCCCGAGGUCCUCCAGCAGAAUCUCCAGGGUUAUGAUGCCAAGUCUGACAUCUACAGUGUGGGAAUCACAGCCUGUGAACUGGCCAACGGCCAUGUCCCCUUUAAGGAUAUGCCUGCCACCCAGAUGCUGCUAGAGAAACUGAACGGCACAGUGCCCUGCCUGUUGGAUACCAGCACCAUCCCCGCUGAGGAGCUGACCAUGAGCCCUUCGCGCUCAGUGGCCAACUCUGGCCUGAGUGACAGCCUGACC